rnacentral:tRNA from 1 species
ACUAUUUUGGCAGAUAAGUGUAUUAGAUUUAGAAUCUAAAAAUGUAAUUUAUUAUUACGGAUAGUA